UACGUAGGGGGCAAGCGUUGUCCGGAAUCAUUGGGCGUAAAGAGCGCGUAGGCGGUCCGGUAAGUCCGCUGUGAAAGUCAAGGGCUCAACCCUUGAAUGCCGGUUGAUACUGUCGGGCUAGAGUCCGGAAGAGGCGAGUGGAAUUCCCGGUGUAGCGGUGAAAUGCGCAGAUAUCGGGAGGAACACCAAUGGCGAAGGCAGCUCGCUGGGACGGUACUGACGCUCAUGCACGAAAGCGUGGGGAGCAAACAGG
rnacentral:rRNA from 1 species